rnacentral:rRNA from 1 species
GAUGAACGCUGGCGGCGUGCCUAACACAUGCAAGUCGAACGGGAAGCUACCUUCGGGUAGUGGAGAGUGGCGAACGGGUGAGUAACACGUAGCUAACCUGCCUUCAAGACGGGGAUAACUAUUGGAAACAGUAGCUAAAACCCGAUAAGCUCACGCUUGGUAAGAGAGUGUGAGAAAAACUCAGGUGCUUGAAGAUGGGGCUGCGAGCCAUCAGCUAGUUGGUGAGGUAACGGCUCACCAAGGCGACGACGGCUAGGGGACCUGAGAGGGUGACCCCCCACACUGGAACUGAGACACGGUCCAGACUUCUACGGAAGGCAGCAGUGAGGAAUAUUGCACAAUGGGCGCAAGCCUGAUGCAGCGACGCCGCGUGGGUGAAGACGGUUUUCGGACUGUAAAGCCCUUUUCUAGGUGACGAGAGUGGACGGUAGCCUAGGAAUAAGUCUCGGCUAACUACG